UGAUGCGAUAAUACCAGCACUAAAGCACCAGAUCCCAUCAGAACUCUGAAGUUAGUUAAGUGUGCUUGGGAGAGAGUAGUACUAGGAUGGGUGACCUCCUGGGAAAUCCUCGAGUUGCAUUCC
rfam:Triticum aestivum genome assembly, contig: Triticum_aestivum_CS42_TGACv1_scaffold_424655_5BS